rnacentral:piRNA from 1 species
UGACUCAAACGAAACUUGUAGGGUGG